rnacentral:rRNA from 1 species
UCCUAGUUGACGCUGGCGGCAGGCCUAACACAUGCAAGUCGAGCGGUAGAGAGAAGCUUGCUUCUCUUGAGAGCGGCGGACGGGUGAGUAAUGCCUAGGAAUCUGCCUGGUAGUGGGGGAUAACGUUCGGAAACGGACGCUAAUACCGCAUACGUCCUACGGGAGAAAGCAGGGGACCUUCGGGCCUUGCGCUAUCAGAUGAGCCUAGGUCGGAUUAGCUAGUUGGUGAGGUAAUGGCUCACCAAGGCGACGAUCCGUAACUGGUCUGAGAGGAUGAUCAGUCACACUGGAACUGAGACACGGUCCAGACUCCUACGGGAGGCAGCAGUGGGGAAUAUUGGACAAUGGGCGAAAGCCUGAUCCAGCCAUGCCGCGUGUGUGAAGAAGGUCUUCGGAUUGUAAAGCACUUUAAGUUGGGAGGAAGGGUUGUAGAUUAAUACUCUGCAAUUUUGACGUUACCGACAGAAUAAGCACCGGCUAACUCUGUGCCAGCAGCCGCGGUAAUACAGAGGGUGCAAGCGUUAAUCGGAAUUACUGGGCGUAAAGCGCGCGUAGGUGGUUUGUUAAGUUGGAUGUGAAAUCCCCGGGCUCAACCUGGGAACUGCAUUCAAAACUGACUGACUAGAGUAUGGUAGAGGGUGGUGGAAUUUCCUGUGUAGCGGUGAAAUGCGUAGAUAUAGGAAGGAACACCAGUGGCGAAGGCGACCACCUGGACUAAUACUGACACUGAGGUGCGAAAGCGUGGGGAGCAAACAGGAUUAGAUACCCUGGUAGUCCACGCCGUAAACGAUGUCAACUAGCCGUUGGAAGCCUUGAGCUUUUAGUGGCGCAAGCUAACGCAUUAAAGUGACCUCC